rnacentral:sRNA from 1 species
ACAGUGUCCCAUCAAACUUCGUAGAAGCCUUCCCCAGAGGAGUAAACUCAGUGCGCGAUCUUAAGCGCGCAUCUGUGGAAAGAAUUAAAAAAAGUUUGCCAACCGCUGCUCUGUAGGGGGCGGCCACACAAAACCUCUUACAUCAUGGGCGACUUCAGGAACAGCCAUAGACAGGGUCUCUGUCACCCAGGCUGGAAUGCGACAGCACAAUCACAGCUUACUGCAGCCUCUAACUCCUAGGCUUAUGUGAUCUUCCCACCUCAGCCUCCCAAAGUAUUGAGAUUACAGCAGGCUUGGGUGCACCACACCCCUCCCAGCAAGCACUGACUCAUCGCAGACUUUUAACUAGUCCAGUGCUGGUUUCCAAGGGGUUUCUGAAGUGUCUGGUGGUUCUGGGGUAAGGGUGAGGUUCCUGGGGGGAUGGCCUAGGGCAUAGAAGGCCCAGGCCAAAUCUGUGGGCCCGGCAUAGCUUGCUGCGACUCCUUCCUGUCAGUGUCCUGGCAUCACCCUACUUUCCUGGUGCAAACUCCUAAGCCCUCCUCUUUCCCUAUGCAGCCUCCCUU